rnacentral:rRNA from 1 species
GACGAACGCUGGCGGCGUGCUUAACACAUGCAAGUCGAACGAAGUGGCGCACGGGUGAGUAACGCGUAAUCAACCUGCCCUUCAGAGGGGGACAACAGUUGGAAACGACUGCUAAUACCGCAUACUGAAGGAGGGGAUUGCGUCUGAUUCGCUCGUUGGAGGGGUAACGGCCCACCAAGGCGAUGAUCAGUAGGCGGGCUGAGGGGAUUAACGGCAAAAUGGGGACUGGGACCAGGCCCAGACUCCUACGGGAGGCAGCAGUGGGAAAUCUUCCGCAAUGGACGAAAGUCUGACGGAGCAACGCCGCGUGGGUGAUGACGGCCUUCGGGUUGUAAAGCUCUGUUAAUCGGGACGCGGUACCGGAAGAGAAAGCCACGGCUAACUACGUGCCAGCAGCCGCGGUAAUAC